GCAAAGUUACAAUUUUCCCGAAAAAUCAGCUAUUUGCAUGCUUAAUUAAUGCAUUUGCCUAAUUUGCAUAUGUCAGCAAUAUGCAAAUUAGAUAAAGGCAUUAAUUAAGCAUGCGAAAGGCUGACUUUUUAGAACAAAAUGAAUAGUUAAAGGUCUUAAACUAAACCAAAUUGUCUGAAAUUUUGUACAGCAAUUAAAAACCCGACAAAUUUUCAAUCUAUUAACUCAAAAUAUGAUUACAGCUUUUAAAUUUUGUGCGCGAGCCAUUUUUAAUUUGUUGGAAAAGACACACCCCCCUGGUUCACAAAAUUUGAGUUCGAGAAAUUUUUUUCAUUAUUUUACAUUAUAAGUACCCGAAGUAGCUAUAUAUAUUAAAAACCAGAUACAAAUAGGUGUUUUGCGAAAUUGAGAGCAAUUUCAAAUCUGUUCAGUUUUUUUUGAUACACCCUGUAUAGUACUUCUUUGUUUUUAUAAAGCGAGUUCACUCAUGCAUUUCAGCA